rnacentral:ncRNA from 1 species
GUUGAGUAUCCGUCUGUAUUAAUAUGGGCCAUUGGGAGGGUCCUGGCAACAGGAACGACCAUAAAGAAGCCUUUUGAGAGAUAUCGGAAGAGUUUUCUUUUCUGUUUUAUAGCCGUACUACCAUGGAAGUCUUUCGCAGAGAGAUAUGGUAGAUGGGCUAGAAGAGCAUGACAUAUACUGUUGUGUCGAUAUUUUCUCCUCGGACCUUGAAAAUUUAUGGUGGGGACACGCAAACUUCUCAACAGGCCGUACCAAUAUCCGCAGCUGGUCUCCAAGGUGAAGAGUCUCUAGUCGAUAGAAUAAUGUAGGUAAGGGAAGUCGGCAAAUUAGAUCCGUAACUUCGGGAUAAGGAUUGGCUCUGAAGAUUGAGAUAGUCGGGCUUGAUUGGGAUACAAUAACAUGGUUUAUGUGCUCGUUCUGGGUAAAUAGAGUUUCUAGCAUUUAUGUUAGUUUACUUGUUCCCCGUAUAGCUUAGUUACGUAGCCAAUUGUGGAACUUUCUUGCUAAUAUUUUUAAGAAUACUAUUUGGGGUUAAACCAAUUAGUUCUUAUCAAUUAUAACGAUUAUCAAUUAACAAUCAUUUCAGAACUGGCACGGACUUGGGGAAUCCGACUGUCUAAUUAAAACAAAGCAUUGUGAUGGCCCUAAGCGGGUGUUGACACAAUGUGACUUCUGCCCAGUGCUCUGAAUGUCAAAGCGAAGAAAUUCAAGUAAGCGCGGGUCAACGGCGGGAGUAACUAUGACUCUCUUAAGGUCGAUCAUUGACAGGGCAGAGCUCGAGGGAAAGGAAACCACUCUCCAAUGCUUAUCGCUAUAUCUCCUAGGAAUUUUUCCGGCACAGGGUGUACGU